UUUUCUUUUUCAAAACAAACUCUCUGUCUGUAACCCAGGCGAAACAAAAUCACUCUCUCAGUCUCUCUAACCCUCAACGAAGACUCCUCCAUCUCGCCGGUUCAGAUUUGGGAAGACGAUGGCAUCACAAUGUCACUAUCUCUCUCUCUCUCUCCCCCCCUCCCCCUCUUUCUCUUUGUAACCCUCGAUUUAGUGAAGAGCUCCUUCAAGUCGUCAGUUAAAAUCUCGAACGAGUUAGAACGAUUCAUUCAACGGGGAAGACGACGGCAUCACAAAAGUCACUAUCUCUCUCUCUCUAACCCUCGAUUCAGUCUUCGUACCUCGAACGAAGAAAUCUAGGAAAACGAGAAAGACGAAGGCAACCUUGAGGAUUGAUCAUGGCCGAGAAGAACAGAGGAAUUUGUCAUUCUUGCAGAGGGGCAGGACACAUGAUGCUCGAAUGCCUCAAAAAGAGAUGUCCAAACUGUGGAGAGGGGUUCGGUAGAUGGUUGGAGGUACAAAAAAAAAAAAUCCAAGAAUCAAGGGAAGUUGUUCCAAUCUUGUACCCACGACUUUAUGUUUUUCAAGUUUUGCAACGUUUCACCUGAUGAAGAGUAUUCAUUGCAAGGUGAAUCAAGUGGCACUACUAAAGGAAGUGAACCCUUCCACAAAUUGUCCCGUAUGUUGAAAGUGUGUGCAAAAAUAACCGAGGAAAGGGACUUGGAGAUUUCAUUGAACAUAACCAUGAGCAAGGGAAAACGAGUUUCAGAAGAUUUAAUAUGAAUUAUGUGUAUUUAGAUGAUUUUAGCUUUUUGGUUUUAUCUUUUUAUAACAUUUUGGUGUUUGAAUAUGUAAUUUGAACCUUGUAAUAAUGUAGUUUAUUUCAACGUAGUUAUGGUAUCA